ACGCUUGGUGAUACACUGCCCAAAAGGGUGAGUAACACGUGUAGCCACCUGCCCCUGAACUCUGGGAUAAGCGCUGGAAACGGCGUCUAAUACUGGAUACGAACCACGAAGGCAUCUUCAGUGGUUGGAAAGAAUUUCGGUUGGGGAUGGGCUCGCGGCCUAUCAGCUUGUUGGUGAGGUAAUGGCUCACCAAGGCGUCGACGGGUAGCCGGCCUGAGAGGGUGACCGGCCACACUGGGACUGAGACACGGCCCAGACUCCUACGGGAGGCAGCAGUGGGGAAUAUUGCACAAUGGGCGCAAGCCUGAUGCAGCAACGCCGCGUGAGGGAUGACGGCCUUCGGGUUGUAAACCUCUUUUAGCAGGGAAGAAGCGAAAGUGACGGUACCUGCAGAAAAAGCGCCGGCUAACUACGUGCCAGCAGCCGCGGUAAUACGUAGGGCGCAAGCGUUAUCCGGAAUUAUUGGGCGUAAAGAGCUCGUAGGCGGUUUGUCGCGUCUGCUGUGAAAUCCGGAGGCUCAACCUCCGGCCUGCAGUGGGGUACGGGCAAGACUAGAGUGCGGUAGGGGGAGAUUGGAAAUUCCUGGUGUACCGGUGGAAUGCCCACAUAUCAGGAGGAACACGAUGGCGAAGGCAGAUCUCUGGGCCGGUAACUGACGCUGAAGGACCCGAAAAGGUGGGGGGAGCAAAACCAGGCUUAAAAUACCCUGGG
rnacentral:rRNA from 1 species